ensembl:ncRNA F48D6.5 ncRNA
UGAUAGUUCUUUGUGUCAGCUGUUUGAUACUAUCUAACUAAUUUUAGACACAUAUGUUUGAGGUGGCAACAAGUGUUAUCACCGGGCAACCAGUGUUUCAUAAACAACCCUAAAAACGUGUCUGAAAUAUUGCGAACA